rnacentral:rRNA from 1 species
AAUAGAUACCCUGGUAGUCCACGCCGUAAACGAUGAGUGCUAAGUGUUAGAGGGUUUCCGCCCUUUAGUGCUGAAGUUAACGCAUUAAGCACUCCGCCUGGGGAGUACGGCCGCAAGGCUGAAACUCAAAGGAAUUGACGGGGGCCCGCACAAGCGGUGGAGCAUGUGGUUUAAUUCGAAGCAACGCGAAGAACCUUACCAGGUCUUGACAUCCUCUGACAACCCUAGAGAUAGGGCUUCUCCUUCGGGAGCAGAGUGACAGGUGGUGCAUGGUUGUCGUCAGCUCGUGUCGUGAGAUGUUGGGUUAAGUCCCGCAACGAGCGCAACCCUUGAUCUUAGUUGCCAUCAUUAAGUUGGGCACUCUAAGGUGACUGCCGGUGACAAACCGGAGGAAGGUGGGGAUGACGUCAAAUCAUCAUGCCCCUUAUGACCUGGGCUACACACGUGCUACAAUGGACGGUACAGAGGGCAGCGAAACCGCGAGGUGGAGCCAAUCCCAUAAAGCCGCUCUCAGUUCGGAUUGCAGG